CAUUGAAAUCAAAAAACAUUGCAAUUUUAAUCGGGACGAGGGUUUUAAGAUCUCAUCCACAUGGAAUCCAGUCAUUAGUAAAUGUAAGCGGAAACGAAUAUCGACAUGACAUCCCUAGUGCGCAAAACGUUCAAACUGAUAAACAAGACCAAGUGCGGGUAGUUCGAAAAACUCGCGCGGCUAGAAGAUGUUGAUGUCAACUUUAGCCAGUCUUCUCCGAGACCACGGGGACAACGCCGUCCUCGAAACGU